rnacentral:rRNA from 2 species
GGGUGGAGGUUAAAAGCUCCGGCGUGAAGGAUGAGCCCGCGGCCUAUCAGCUUGUUGGUGAGGUAACGGCUCACCAAGGCGACGACGGGUAGCCGGCUGAGAGGGCGACCGGCCACACUGGGACUGAGACACGGCCCAGACUCCUACGGGAGGCAGCAGUGGGGAAUAUUGACAAUGGGCGAAAGCCUGAUGCAGCGACGCCGCGUGAGGGAUGACGGCCUUCGGGUUGUAAACCUCUUUCAGCAGGAAGAAGCGAAAGUGACCGUACCUGCAGAAGAAGCGCCGGCUAACUACGUGCCAGCAGCCGCGGUAAUACGUAGGCGCAAGCGUUGUCCGGAAUUAUUGGGCGUAAAGAGCUCGUAGGCGGUCUGUCACGUCGGAUGUGAAAGCCCGGGGUUAACCCCGGGUCUGCAUUCGAUACGGGCAGACUAGAGUGUGGUAGGGGAGAUCGGAAUUCCUGGUGUAGCGGUAAAUGCGCAGAUAUCAGGAGGAACACCGGUGGCGAAGGCGGAUCUCUGGGCCAUUACUGACGCUGAGGAGCGAAGCGUGGGGAGCGAACAGGAUUAGAUACCCUGGUAGUCCACGCCGUAAACGGUGGGAACUAGGUGUUGGCGACAUCCACGUCGUCGGUGCCGCAGCUAACGCAUUAAGUUCCCCGCCUGGGGAGUACGGCCGCAAGGCUAAAACUCAAAGAAUUGACGGGGGCCCGCACAAGCAGCGGAGCAUGUGGCUUAAUUCGACGCAACGCGAAGAACCUUACCAAGGCUGACAUACACCGGAAACGGCCAGAGAUGGUCGCCCCCUUGUGGUCGGUGUACAGGUGGUGCAUGGCUGUCGUCAGCUCGUGUCGUGAGAUGUUGGGUUAAGU